CAAAAGCCAAGAGUGUACUAACAUUGCUUAACAGUGUAAUUGCCAAGUAUUAAUGAAGUCUUGCAUAGGUUUGGUUUUCAAAAUACAACAGAUACUAGAAGUCAUCUUCUUCUCAGGUAAAUAUUGUCAUUACAAAUGACAAAUGACACAAAUGAAACAGUGUUCUUCCUCACCUGAACAAAUUCCCAUUCAUAUUUAUAUUUUGUGUUACUAAUUUUUUUUCUGCAUUGCAACCUGAAUGCUUCCAACUUUUAAAAGUGAAGAACACUAAAGCUUUGUUGUACUACAGGAGAGCAAUAAGUAUCGGUUUAGGAGUCCUGUUACUUGGUCUGUUGUUACAUUACCGGAUGCACUUAUUCAAGUUAUUCACAUAGAUCACGGCUUAAUAAAGAAAGACAAUAAAAAUUCA
rnacentral:lncRNA from 1 species